CUACGGGGGGCAGCAGUGGGGAGUAUUGGACAAUGGGGGAAACCCUGAUCCAGCAAUGCCGCGUGUGUGAAGAAGGCCUGCGGGUUGUAAAGCACUUUCGGUUGGGAGGACUGCUUCUAGCACUAAUAUUGUUGGAAGUUGACGUUACCUUCAGAAGAAGCACCGGCUAACUCCGUGCCAGCAGCCGCGGUAAUACGGGGGGUGCAAGCGUUAAUCGGAAUUACUGGGCGUAAAGCGCGCGUAGGCGGCUAGAUCAGUCGGGUGUGAAAGCCCCGGGCUUAACCUGGGAACUGCAUCCGAUACUGUCUAGCUUGAGUACAGGAGAGGAGAGUGGAAUUCCACAUGUAGCGGUGAAAUGCGUAGAUAUGUGGAGGAACACCAAUGGCGAAGGCAGCUCUCUGGCCUGAUACCGACGCUGAGGUGCGAAAGCGUGGGGAGCAAACAGGAUUAGAUACCCGAGUAGUC
rnacentral:rRNA from 1 species